rnacentral:misc_RNA from 1 species
GAGUUCAUGCCCUUCGGGGUAGAUCUCCCACCCUUUGUAUACCAUACCUCUGUUGCUUUGGCGGGCCGCCUAGCUACUGGCUUCGGCUGGUAAGUGCCCGCCAGAGGACCCUAAACUCUGAUUUAUAGUGUCGUCUGAGAACUAUACAAUAGUUAAAACUUUCAACAACGGAUCUCUUGGUUCU